rnacentral:rRNA from 1 species
UAUCUGGUUGAUCCUGCCAGUAGUCAUAUGCUUGUCUCAAAGAUUAAGCCAUGCAUGUCUAAGUAUAAGCAACUAUACUGUGAAACUGCGAAUGGCUCAUUAAAUCAGUUAUCGUUUAUUUGAUAGUACCUUACUACAUGGGAUAACCGUGGUAAUUCUAGAGCUAAUACAUGCUAAAAACCUCGACUUCGGAAGGGGUGUAUUUAUUAGAUAAAAAACCAAUGCCCUUCGGGGCUCCCGGUUGAUUCAUAAUAACUUAACGAAUCGCAUGGCCUUGCGCCGGCGAUGGUUCACUCAAAUUUCUGCCCUAUCAACUUUCGAUGGUAGAGUAGUGGUCUACCAUGGUGUCAACGGGUAACGGGGACAUUAGGGUGAGACUCCGGAGAGGGAGCCUGAGAAACGGCUACCACAUCCAAGGAAGGCAGCAGGCGCGCAAAUUACCCAAUCCCGACACGGGGAGGUAGUGACAAUAAAUACUGAUACAGGGCUCUUUUGGGUCUUGUAAUUGGAAUGAGAACGACGUAAAUACCCUAUCGAGGAACAAUUGGAGGGCAAGUCUGGUGCCAGCAGCCGCGGUAAUUCCAGCUCCAAUAGCGUAUAUUAAAGUUGUUGCAGUUAAAAAGCUCGUAGUUGAAACUUGGGCCUGGCUGGCCGGUCCGCCUCACCGCGUGCACUGGUUCGGCCGGGCCUUUCCUUCUGGGGAGCCUCAUGCCCUUCAUUGGGUGUGUUGGGGAACCAGGACUUUUACUUUGAAAAAAUUAGAGUGUUCAAAGCAGGCCUUUGCUCGAAUACAUUAGCAUGGAAUAAUAGAAUAGGACGUGUGGUUCUAUUUUGUUGGUUUCUAGGACCGCCGUAAUGAUUAAUAG